rnacentral:rRNA from 1 species
GAACGCUGGCGGCGUGCCUAAUACAUGCAAGUCGAGCGAACAGACAAGGAGCUUGCUCCUUUGACGUUAGCGGCGGACGGGUGAGUAACACGUGGGUAACCUACCUAUAAGACUGGGAUAACUUCGGGAAACCGGAGCUAAUACCGGAUAAUAUUUCGAACCGCAUGGUUCGAUAGUGAAAGAUGGUUUUGCUAUCACUUAUAGAUGGACCCGCGCCGUAUUAGCUAGUUGGUAAGGUAACGGCUUACCAAGGCGACGAUACGUAGCCGACCUGAGAGGGUGAUCGGCCACACUGGAACUGAGACACGGUCCAGACUCCUACGGGAGGCAGCAGUAGGGAAUCUUCCGCAAUGGGCGAAAGCCUGACGGAGCAACGCCGCGUGAGUGAUGAAGGUCUUCGGAUCGUAAAACUCUGUUAUUAGGGAAGAACAUACGUGUAAGUAACUAUGCACGUCUUGACGGUACCUAAUCAGAAAGCCACGGCUAACUACGUGCCAGCAGCCGCGGUAAUACGUAGGUGGCAAGCGUUAUCCGGAAUUAUUGGGCGUAAAGCGCGCGUAGGCGGUUUUUUAAGUCUGAUGUGAAAGCCCACGGCUCAACCGUGGAGGGUCAUUGGAAACUGGAAAACUUGAGUGCAGAAGAGGAAAGUGGAAUUCCAUGUGUAGCGGUGAAAUGCGCAGAGAUAUGGAGGAACACCAGUGGCGAAGGCGACUUUCUGGUCUGUA